GGGAGAUAGGGAGGGAGGGAGAUACAGGGAGGGAGAGAUGGAGAGAGAUAGAGGGAUAAAGAGAUAUAGAGAGGGAGAUACAGAGAGAUGGAGAUACAGAGAUAGAGAGAGAGGGAGAUAUAGAGAGAUACAGAGAGAGAGAGGGAGAUAUGGGGGGAGAGAUGGGGGGAGAGAGAGAUAUAGAGAUAGAGGGAGAUACAGAGAGAGAGGGAGAGAUGGAGGGAGAUGGAGGGAGAUAUAGAGAUAGAGAGAGGGAAAUAUAGAGGGAGAUAUAGAGAUAGAGGGAGAGAGAGAUGGAGAUACAGAGAGAGAUAGGGAGGGAGGGAGAGAUGGAGGGAUGGAGAUGGAGGGAUGGAGAUGAUGGAGAUAGAGGGAUAGAGAGAUGGAGGUGGAGAUAUAGGGAUGGAGAUAUAGAGAUGGAGAGAUAGAGAUGGAGAGAUAGAGAUGAUGGAGAUAGAGAUGAUGGAGAGAUAGAGAUGGAGAGAUAUAGAGAUGGAGAGAUAUAGAGAUGGAGAGAUAGAGAUGGAGAGAUAGAGAUGGAGAGAUAGAGAUGGAGAGAUAUAGAGAUGGAGAGAUAUAGAGAUGGAGAGAUAUAGAGAUGGAGAGAUAGAGAUGAUGGAGAUAGACAGAGAGAUGGAGAGAUGGAGGUGGAGAUAUAGAGAUGGAGGGAUGGGGAUGGAGAUAUAGAGAUGGAGAUGGAGAUAUAGAGAUGGAGAUGGAGAUGGACAGAGAGAUAUAGAGAUGGAGAGAUGGAGGGAGAGAUAGAGAUGGAGGGAGAUAUAGGGGAGAUAUAGAGAUAGGGGGAGAUAGAGAGGGAGAUAUAGAGGGAGAGAUAGAAAUAGAGGGAGAUAUAGGGGAAGAUACAGAGAUAGAGGGAGAGAUAUAGGGGGAGAUAAAG
ensembl:lncRNA